GAUGAAGAACGUAGCGAAAUGCGAUAAGUAAUGCGAAUUGCAGAAUCCGUGAGUCAUCGAAUCUUUGAACGCACAUUGCGCCCCUUGGUUAUUCCGAAGGGCAUGCCUGUUCGAGCGUCAUUAUCACCCCUCAAGCCCUGGCUUGGUGUUGGACUUUAGUUAUAGCUUUGCCUAUCAACUGGUCUCAAAGAUAGUGACGGCGCCCCAGAGGGAACCGGGUACGAGGAGCUUUUUACUAAGCAUGUAUCUGGGACGACUCUGGGCGACGGUCUUGUUAUACUUUUUACCUAAGUGUUGACCUCGGAUCAGGGAGGAAUACCCGCUGAACUUAAGCAUAUCAAUAAGCGGAGGA
rnacentral:misc_RNA from 1 species